GCGGUGGUAGUCUAGCUUGGUCUAGGACAGCGGCCUGCCACGCCGCGGGCCCGGGUUCAAAUCCCGGCCACCGCACCA
rnacentral:tRNA from 2 species